rnacentral:rRNA from 1 species
GACGAACGCUGGCGGCGUGCUUAACACAUGCAAGUCGAGCGGUAAGGCCCUUUCGGGGGUACGACGAGCGGCGAACGGGUGAGUAACACGUGGGUGACCUGCCCUCCAGCUCUGGGAUAAGCCUGGGAAACCGGGUCUAAUACCGGAUAUGACUCCAUGACGCAUGUUGUGGGGUGGAAAGCCUUGUGCGGCUGAGGAUGGGCCCGCGGCCUAUCAGCUUGUUGGUGGGGUGAUGGCCUACCAAGGCGACGACGGGUAGCCGG